rnacentral:rRNA from 1 species
AUUGAACGCUGGCGGCGUGCCUAACACAUGCAAGUCGAGCGGCAACAGGUGUAGCAAUACAUGCUGACGAGCGGCGGACGGGUGAGUAACGCUUGGGAAUCUGCCUGUUAGUGGGGGACAACCCGGGGAAACUCGGGCUAAUACCGCAUACGCACUACGGUGGAAAGCCGGGGACCGCAAGGCCUGGCGCUAACAGAUGAGCCCAAGUCGGAUUAGCUAGUGUAGGUAACGCCUACAAGGCGACGAUCCGUAACUGGUCUGAGAGGACGACCAGUCACACCGGAACUGAGACACGGUCCGGACUCCUACGGGAGCAGCAGU